rnacentral:rRNA from 1 species
CAAUAGCGUAUAUUAAAGCUGUUGCGGUUAAAAAGCUCGUAGUUGGAUUUCUGUCAAGGACAACUGGUCCGCCCCUCGGGUGAGCACAUAGUUUGGUCUUGGCAUCUUGUUGGAAACUGUUGCUGCACUUGGUUGUGUGGCGCAGUGUCCAGCACUUUCACUUUGAGGAAAUUGGAGUGUUUCAAGCAGGCACAUGCCUUUGGACACAGUAGCAUGGAAUAAUUAGAUUGGGCUUUUGCUCCAACUUGUCGGUUUCUGGAGCUGAGGUGAGAAUUAAUGGGGAUUGUUGGGGGCAUCCGAAUUUAGCCGUCAGAGGUGAAAUUCUUGGAUCUGCUAAAGACGGACAACUGCGAAAGCGUUUGCCCAGGAUGUUCUCAUUGA